UUAAGUUCAGCGGGUAGUCCUACUCGAUUUGAGGUCAAGUUGUCAAAAAGUGUCCGAAGACGGUUUGAAAGCACAGAGCUCCCAAUCGGCCACCCUCUUGCGAGGUGCCGGCGAAGAUACUUAUCACGCCGUACUAUGUCCAACCAAGAGAUGCACUGACGCAUUUGAGGUGAGCCGCAAGGUAAGCAGCAAACACCCAA
rnacentral:misc_RNA from 1 species